AUCGUUCCUUGGCAUUUUGGCUAAGAUCAAGUGUACUAUCUGUUAUCGUUUCAUUAUGUUCUCUAUAAGGGAACAACAUGUUAAACAGAGUUUUAGAUUAGAUUUUUACUCCAUGCACUGACCUGAUGUUGCGGUAACAUUAGAAUGCUGCACUCCUA